rnacentral:rRNA from 1 species
CAGCCGCCGCGGUAAUACCGGCGGCCCGAGUGGCGGCCACUAUUAUUGGGCUUAAAGCGUCCGUAGCCGGGUUGGUUGGUCUCCCGGGAAAUCUGGCCGCUUAACGGUCAGAAUUCCGGGAGAUACUGCCAGCCUAGGGACCGGGAGAGGCCGAGGGUAUUCCCGGAGUAGGGGUGAAAUCCUAUAAUCCCGGGAGGACCACCUGUGGCGAAGGCGCUCGGCUGGAACGGGUCCGACGGUGAGGGACGAAGGCCAGGGGAGCAAACCGGAUUAGAUACCCGGGUAGUCCUGGCUGUAAACGAUGCGGACUUUGUGUCGGACAAGCUAUGAGCUUGUCCGGUGCCGGAGGGAAACCGUUAAGUCCGCCGCCUGGGGAGUACGGCCGCAAGGCUGAAACUUAAAGGAAUUGGCGGG